rnacentral:tRNA from 1 species
GAUCUAUUAGUUCAGUUGGUUAGAGCAUUGUGUUAAUAACAUGAAAGUCAUAGGUUUAAUUCUUACUUAAAUCA